rnacentral:lncRNA from 1 species
GAGCUCAUUCGUCGCCCAUCUCCGUCUCCUCUACCGCCUUCCUUUUUCGAACCCUCACGGCCUCUUUUUCCUCGGCUUCCUACGGCUCUCCAAUCCACCGUUAAAGAUGGCAGCGCUCUCAAAGAACCGACGAUCCUCCUAGCUUCCCCCCGAGAGCCGGAGACGGGUCGGCGAGGUUAACGUCGGAGGAUUUCUCCGACUCCCUCCGCCGCGGUGCGUUUUCGGUUUCGGGGGAGCACCUCAAGGAGACAGGGUUCGAUCUUAAGAGCGGCAAUUUCCAAGUCCGCCGAGCGAGCGAGCCCGGAUUGCUGCCAAGAAGGCCCGGGAGGCGGUGGACCGUUACAGAUCUAAGUUGGCGCCGGGGUUCUUGAUGUGGAACAAGUGAGCGCAUUAGAUGGUGAUCGACUUCUUUCUUGACCUGAAUUAUUAUUUAUUUUUCAUCUUCAAUUAUUAUUCAUUGGAUGGUAAUCUUAAUUUCCCCCUCUGAACUCGUACAAACUAUAGUUUUUGCAUGAGUUUGUAUAUUUUUCUCCCUUAUACCAUGUAAUUUGUUCAACUUGGUUAGUACUAGUUUUUGUUACAAAAGGUUUUGUUAUGAUUGGCUAGUUUUCGAACUCACUUAGAUAAGCGGCUAAUUGCUAAGAUGCUGAGAUUCGGAAGGAUUACAUUCCCUCCUGGCCCCUUGUGGGCGAAGUUUGUCGGUUAAGGUUGUCGAGAGGUAUCUAAUGGAUACUGAGACCUUAUACAUGGUCAGAAUUUCCUAAGAUCUUAUGGCAGAGUCCUACUGUGGCACACAAUUUGUCCAUGAAAAAUAUAUGCGAGACACUGUUUUUUUUUUUUGGCAAGGAGGAAGACACUUUGUUGGUCUCAAUCACAUUAUAUAUGACAAUAUGACAAACUCCUCGGGCAGCUUUAGUAAUUAGUGCUGCUUCUCUUAGAUAGGCAACUUUUAAUGCCUCUCUUAUUGGAGUGUAGUUGUCUUUAUUGCAAUGUAGUUAUUUAAACCCUUUUUUUGGUGCACUUAUCUAGUCUCAGUCCCUGCAGCAUCAGGUGCUCUAAAUGCAUGUUCUCAUAAAUAUGGAUACCAUAACAAUAGGCUAAUUAGAUAUUAUCCCUUGUAAUUAGACCUCCUUAACAUUCCAAUCCCUAGGCUUCAAAAAUUUAUAUUGAAAUUUCUAUAGUUAUGAAAAUAAAACAUCUAACUCCAUUUACCCUAACGUCGUCGAUUUUACCGACGGAAGCACAAAAAUAAUGGGCAAAAAGAUAAUUUUAACAUCUUAGUUGGUGGUGACGGACGACGUUGAUGGUGGCGGACAGCGACACUGUUGGGGGCCAUGUGUGGCUGUUGUAGAUGAGAAGAGCGGCAGCAAGAGGUGAAGGUCGUUUUGCAUAUGCGACGACGUCGACGCAGAUGCAAAGCAGCGAAAGAGUCGUUCGACAAUUGCGUCGGUGUCGACACAAAUGCAGAGUGGCCCUUACUUCUCGUUGUCGCUUUCCUCAUCCACACCCGUGGCCCCCAACGGCGUCGUCAUCCGUCACCACCAACUGAAAUAUUAAAAUUAUUUUUUUGUCCAUUAUUUUCGUAUUUCGGUUGGUAAAACCGAUGACGUUAGGAUAAAUGGAGCUAAAUAUUUCACUUUCAUAACUAUAUGGAUUCUAAUGUAAAUUUUUUAGGUCUAAGGAUCGGGAUGCUAAGGAGGUUUAACUACAAAGGAUAAUAUAUAAUUGGCCCUACAAUAGUCGUGCUUGAUCACAUUCUUUUUGGUGUAUGUCAUAUUAGCUCCCAUUAUCCGGUACAUAUUAGUAGCUUCGAUUUCUAGUAGAGUAUUUGAUGCAUUCUAUCAUAAGUAACUUGAUAUAACAGAUGUUGAGAUGAAUUUGCGGCAAAUGGUAGAUGCAUAAUUAAGGAAAUGAAAGUAUGGUGAACAAGAGAAAAAAGAGAUCGAAGAACUAUGACUAAAUGAAAUUUCACUUGUAACUUAGUUUCAGUUUGCCUUGCAGUAAUUAAAUACUUGAUAGCUAAGGCUCCAUUUGUUACUAGAAUUAGUUUUAGGAGAAUAAUCUAAUAUCAUGAUUAUACAAAAUCAAUAACUGCUACUCUCUUUUGGGUAUUACUAUUUGUGAUGUAUUUAAAUAUUCAUUGAAAAGUUUGUUAAAAAAAAAUCAGGACAUAGUGAUUUUAUUAUUGAUCAAUACAAACUUUAUUUGUUUAAGUUGAUUCUACAUUCAAUUGGUUCAGUCUGUUUGAUCAAACCUGACUAUUGACAAAUUGAUAAAUUGAUUUCGUAUCAGGUCAGACUCUGGGUUCUCAGACCCUUCUGCAAAGACAGAAACUAAAACUUUUGCAAAGACGAUAUAUAAAUUUGAGCUCUACUAGCCAACUUAACCGAUCAAGUUCAAGUUGAUCUGAAACUCUAUUUGCAAAAGUAUAAUAUAUCUUUUGAGGUUGACUACUGACCUGAUUUGACCCAGGUCAACAUGUAGGAAAACCCAAUUGUGAUAUGAGACAGGUUUGGGAUAAAACCUACACCCACUCCAUAAAAUUUACAAUUCCUUUGGUUUACAGAUGAACUUCUCUGUCUUUUGGACACUAAUGUCUAACCCAAUCCUGGACAAGACUAAAAUAUAUCUUUUGCUUGAGCUAAACCAUGCCAGGAAUCCUGAUGUUUGAUAAAUUUGACAAGGUGGAUAGCAGCGCAUGCUACAUCAAAGCUGUGGAUAUUGGCACAAUAUGAAAAUAGUAGACAUUAAAUCUUUAGGGAUUUCUAUUGUCUGUUAUUUGACAUUUCAUGAACAAUCAUUUCCUUGGAUCUUUGUUUUGCUCUUCA